GCCAUAAUAGCUCUGGGAAUUGAAUCUUGGGGACCAGGAACAGUCUCACACGUCAUUGUAAUCUGGAUUCAUGAACUCUGACUUUCCACAGUCUUUGAGUCACUGAGCACCAGGAUCAACUUUCACAGAGGAUCCAGAUAAUCAGCCAGCUUGAGUCACACUGCUGCAGCUUGGCUAGGGUAGGGAUUCCUGACCAACAGUCCCAUAAGAUUUUAUCCAGUCAGGAGGGACUGGCCCAAUCUGAAGUGCAGCCAAGACCGGGAGCCACAGACCUGGAACCUGGGUACUCAAAGAGUUGUCCACGUGCCAGCAGCACUGGCCCCUCCAGGAGCUUGUUAGAAAUGUAGAACCUCAGAGCCUACAUUAAAGAUAUUGAAUCGGAGUCUGCACCUCGCAUCUGAGAAGCCAUGAGCUAAGCUGAUGCCAUUCAGCUGGGUAGCAUCACAGUCACUGUGCAACUUUUAAACCUACAGCUGCCCAGGCCCACUGCAGACCUGCUAAAUUCGAGCUCCUUGUAGUGGGGCCAGGGCCCUGGGACUUCACACAAAAUACUGCAAGUCAUCACUGAUGAGAAAACCAAGACUCGAUGAGAGUCUCCUGAGCUCGGAGGAAGAAGCUGCAUAACCAGCACACUUCCAGAGAGGACCGAGGAAGAGAGCGUCGCUUCAGCUAGGGAUCUGAUUAGUCAUGCCUGGUAGGCUCUGCUGAGCUGGGUGCUCAUGGGUUUUGCUUGUUGAGCUGAAUUAAUAUAUUAAUGGAUUUCA
rnacentral:lncRNA from 1 species